UCCCGACGGUCCGAGUCGCAGCCACAAUUAUUGGGUCUAAGACAUUCGUAGCUUGUUUGUUAAGUUUUUUGUGAAAUUCUAGAUCUUAAGUCUAGAGCGUGCAAGAAAUACUGGCAAACUGGAGACCGGAAGAAGCAAAAAGUACGACGGAGGUAGUGGUAAAAUAUGUUAAUCUUCGUCGGACUAACAACAGCGAAGGCAUUUUGCUAGUACGGAUCUGACAGUGAGGAAUGAAGGCUAGGGUCGCGAAACG
rnacentral:rRNA from 1 species